rnacentral:rRNA from 1 species
GUCUUUUUGAAAUAAAUUUAAAGUCUAACCUGCCCACUGAUAAAUUUUAAAGGGCCGCGGUAUUUUGACCGUGCAAAGGUAGCAUAAUCAUUAGUUUUUUAAUUGAAAGCUUGUAUGAAUGGUUGGACGAAAUAUUUACUGUCUCAUAAAAAUUUGUAUUAGAAAUUAAUUUUUUUGUUAAAAAGCAAAAAUGUUAUUAAAGGACGAGAAGACCCUAUAGAGCUUUAUAAUUAUAUUAUUUAAUUUUUUAAGAAAAUUUUAAAUUUUAUAAGAAUAAUUAUUUUGUUGGGGUGACAAUAAAAUUUAUAAAACUUUUAUUAUAAAUAUUACAUUGAUUAAUGAAUAUUUGAUCCAUUAUUAAUGAUUAAAAAAUUAAGUUACCUUAGGGAUAACAGCGUAAUUUUUUUUAAGAGUUCAUAUCGACAAAAAAGAUUGCGACCUCGAUGUUGGAUUAAGAGUUAUUUUUAGGUGUAGAAGUUUAAAAUUUAGGUCUGUUCGACCUUUGAAUUCUU